UACGUAGGGGGCGAGCGUUUGUCCGGAUUUACUGGGCGUAAAGAGCGCGCAGGCGGUCGAUCAAGUCGCGUGUGAAAGCCCCGGCUCAACUGGGGAGGGUCACGCGAUACUGAUCGACUCGAAGGCAGGAGAGGGUAGUGGAAUUCCCGGUGUAGAGGUGAAAUUCGUAGAUAUUCGCAAGAACACCAGUGGCGAAGGCGGCUUACCUGGUCCGGUUCUGACGCUGAGGCGCGAAAGCGUGGGGAGCAAACAGGG
rnacentral:rRNA from 1 species